rnacentral:rRNA from 1 species
UACGGAGGGUGCGAGCGUUGUCCGGAAUCAUUGGGCGUAAAGGGCGCGUAGGUGGCCCGGUCAGUCAGUGGUGAAAGCGCGGGGCUCAACCCUGCGUCGGCCAUGAAUACUGCCGCGGCUGGAGCACUGUAGAGGCAGGCGGAAUUCCGGGUGUAGCGGUGGAAUGCGUAGAGAUCCGGAAGAACACCGGUGGCGAAGGCGGCCUGCUGGGCAGUAGCUGACACUGAGGCGCGACAGCGUGGGGAGCAAACAGG